UACAGAGGGUGCAAGCGUUAAUCGGAAUUACUGGGCGUAAAGCGUGCGUAGACGGUCAUGUAAGUCGGGUGUGAAAGCCCCGGGCUCAACCUGGGAAUUGCAUUCGAGACUGCAUGGCUAGGGUGCGGAAGAGGGAAGCGGAAUUUCCGGUGUAGCGGUGAAAUGCGUAGAUAUCGGAAGGAACACCAGUGGCGAAAGCGGCUUCCUGGUCCAGCACCGACGUUCAG
rnacentral:rRNA from 1 species